rnacentral:lncRNA from 1 species
GCCAGGAGGAAAGGACUAACAUCUUUGAGCAUGGGUUGCUGUCCACCUGUAUUGUAACUGCCAUUGGGUUCCUACACUCCUCGAUGACAAGGAUGGAAAUGCACUUUCUAUACAUUGACAAAGAGAGAGGUUGUGCAUUAAACUUCCCAUUCAGAAUUUGCUUUGUUGCAAAGGCCACUUGACAAACCAUCAUGCUUCCCCCUCCCCGCAACUCAUUUUAAAGCUACAGUUAACAAAAGAUGUUCUCCCCUGUCAGAAAGAAAGAUAAUUUGAGUAAAAGAGUCG